UUCCUCUCGGGGCCACACCUGGAGAGUUUCCAGUAUUCUACCAGUCUCGGCUACAGGACGGAGAGUCAAGCAGAGGCCUGUCAAUUCCAUUCCUAGCUUGGCCAGUGGCUAGCGAGUGGAAGGCAACCUGCUACAAGU